rnacentral:lncRNA from 1 species
CAGUCGUGCCUGCCAGGGAUCGGUUAGCAUCCUAGCAUGCUUGUGGGAUUAUCUUGAUGGGAUUGAGGCUAACAGCCAUGCUGCUGCUGAUCCAUCCUGCCAGGUCCCAGCCUGGCAGAAGUCAUUUUGCAGCAAGGAGAGACUAAGACAGCAGUGGGAUCUCAAGGAUCUGAGCUGAGUCUGAUGUCCUCGCUGUACAGAAUUCUGUUUUCCAGACAUUUUUGCAUGCUGGAUGUGGGACAUUGAGCAUUAGUGUGCUGAGGAGACUCCUUCCUUGUGACCUGGUCCAGCAAACCACUUAAAACCCCAUCACGCUGACGGCCAUGCUCAGAAAUAGAAAAGUGAUUCUUUUAUGGCAUUUACUGCUCAGACUUAUCCACUCAGCCGAGUAAACAAGACCCCACAAGGAGCCGGUUUUGAUUCUCGGGGUGCCCUGUCACGUCUGAAUUAUGUCACACAGCAGGACUCUGGGCAGGUGAUAUGAGGGUUGUGUUCAUGACUGUGUAGCCCUGCUCCGGCCCUGGGGGAAGACCCGUCAGCAUCCUUUACUCCCGGAGGUGGAGGAUCUGCGGACAAUGCAGAGCAGCACUGGAAGGGACAGAGCUCUCUUGCCUGAUGUUGACUCUCCACCCAGAGUGCCAGCAUUUAUUUGCUUUUCCAGAGUGUUGUGGGAACGAAAGGCUAAUCAAAAGCCAUGGUGCCUGAAACCCUUAAAGGACCAAA